rnacentral:lncRNA from 1 species
UUCCCUAAUCCAGAUAAGGAUAGGCAGCUAUUUAAUACAUGGGUCUUUCAUAUUGGUGGUGACAUUUUGCAACUUGAAAAUAACCAUAUUUUCAAAUACCGCCGCGUCUGUAAUGAUCAUUUCGAACCAAAAUAUUGGUGCCGGAAUAACCGACUUGCCAAAGGAGCUGUACCUACAAAAAACAUGCCAGGAUUAUCUUGCUCGAAAUUCAGCAUUGAAAAAAGAGCACUAAGACCUCUUCAGAUUUCAGGACCGUCUACAUCAAAAGAACCUGCGCAUCUACAUAUACACUCACAAGGUUCAAUUGAAGAUGUACAAAUGAAAGAGAAUCUUGAUCCUGUCACU